AGGCUCCACACAUUGAUUCUGACCUGCAUAAUGGACUCUGCCUGGGGCACCCAUGUCCAAACCAGCCCAGGCGCCCAAAGCACUGGCACCGGUACGACCCAGAGCGGCUGCAGUGCUCCCAAGUGCCCAGUGCUGGGGAUUGGGGGUGCCACGGCUUGGGAGUGCCACGGCUUGGGAGGCUGCCCAGAGGGCGGAAGGGUCCUCUGCAGAGCUCUGCACGCCUGUCGGCCGACGGGGGCUCUGCACGGCGGACUGAGUCACCGCCGCCUCAUCGGCCGGCAGCGCAGGAAACCCCGUCACCUUCUCGAGGCAAGGACGGUCCUGCCGCCAGCCGUUCCUGCGAUCCCAGGGUCUCUGCAGUUACACCUGGUUCCAGCCGGGGGCGCCGCGCCGCGCCGCUCCUACGGAGGAGCCAGGCGCCCUUCACAGGCGCGGCCCCACCCGCUUUACUAGCCAGGUGUGAGUCACCCCACGUGCGCCCGAACGCGGUCAGGUCCACCCAGGAAGCCGGAGCAGGACUUUGGGCAGCGAGCUCGCUGUGAGUUAGAGAGCAGAGGGACAUCUGUGGCUAAGGAAUUCGCUGCAUGGACGAAGACCCAAGCAAAGCAGAUAGAACCAAAUGGACGCUGUGCUGCUCAGCCCACCCCAGGCAGGGCAGGGAGGACAGACACUAGAGAGGCUCCCGGGAGCUCCCUGGCUGUAACUGAAAUAUCACGUGGGUGAACAAAGGGAGAAAUGUUGCAGCUGUGUUGGCCCUUUACAACAUGCAGCGGAUUCUGCCAGAUCCCACGAACAAUCAUGCUUUCUACAGUAACCAA